rnacentral:rRNA from 1 species
GACGAACGCUGGCGGCGUGCUUAACACAUGCAAGUCGAACGGAAAGGCCCUGCUUUUGUGGGUUGCUCGAGUGGCGAACGGGUGAGUAACACGUGAGUAACCUGCCCUUGACUUUGGGAUAACUUCAGGAAACUGGGGCUAAUACCGGAUAGGAGCUCCUGCUGCAUGGUGGGGGUUGGAAAGUUUCGGCGGUUGGGGAUGGACUCGCGGCUUAUCAGCUUGUUUGUGGGGUAGUGGCUUACCAAGGCUUUGACGGGUAGCCGGCCUGAGAGCGUGAACGGCCACAAUGGGACUGAGAUACGGCCCAGACUCCUACGGGCGGCAGCAGUCGGGAAUAUUGCACAAUGGGGGGAAGCGUGAUGCAGCAACGCCGCGUGCGGGAUGACGGGUUUUGGGUUGUAAACCGCUUUCGAAUGUGACGAAGCGUGAGUGACGGUAAUGGGUAAAGAAGCACCGGCUAACUACGUG